rnacentral:rRNA from 1 species
AUGGGGCAGUGCUACGCCAAGAACAUACACGCGGACGGCGGGGAUGGGGGCGAGGGUGGCGGAGGGACGACCACCAUCUCGGUCUCGGCGUCUGCCGCGGCUGCCGUCCAGGAGGAGCCCGCCGGCGAGAGGGCCACGGGAGGGAGGCGGAGCGGCAGGCCGUCGCCGGCGGGGACGCCGCGCAGCAGGGCGGGGGUGACGCCGGCCAGGACUUCGGCGGCGGCCGCGGGGAGCCCCUGGGCCGCCAGCCCGCUCCCCGAGGGCAUCGCGCCGUCCCCGGCGACGUCCGCGUCCACGCCCAGGCGCUUCUUCCGCCGCCCGUUCCCUCCGCCGUCCCCGGCCAAGCACAUCAAGGCGUCGCUGGUGCGCCGCCUCGGCCACCGCUCCCCGGCUGCUACCUCUGCGCAGGCGCCGCCCGCUAAGCCGCCGCAGGAGGCCCCGAUCCCCGAACAAGGGGCCGGCGGCGGCGGAGGAGAGGAGGAGCUCGACAAGAGCUUCGGCUACGACCGCCACUUCGCGGUCAAGUACGAACUGGGAAAGGAGGUGGGUCGCGGCCACUUCGGCCACACCUGUCUCGCGCGUGCCCGCAAGGGGGACAUGAGAGGUCAAGUCAUAGCUGUCAAGGUCAUCUCCAAAGCCAAGAUGACAACAGCAAUAUCUAUUGAGGAUGUGCGUAGAGAGGUGAAAAUUCUGAAAGCUUUAUCUGGGCAUUCAAAUCUUGUGAAAUUUUAUGAUGCAUGUGAGGAUGCCCUUAACGUCUACAUCAUCAUGGAGUUGUGUGAAGGUGGGGAGUUGUUGGACAGAAUCUUGUCCAGAGGUGGGAGGUACACUGAGGAUGAUGCUAAAGUUAUCAUCAAACAGAUAUUAAGUGUAGUUGCUUUCUGCCAUCUUCAGGGUGUUGUUCAUCGUGAUCUUAAGCCAGAGAAUUUCCUAUUCAGUACUAGAGAUGAACAUUCUCCUAUGAAGCUCAUCGAUUUUGGCCUCUCUGAUUUUAUAAGGCCAGAUGAAAGGCUGAAUGACAUUGUUGGUAGUGCAUACUAUGUUGCUCCAGAAGUCCUACAUAGGUCAUAUAGCACAGAAGCAGACAUGUGGAGCGUAGGUGUUAUCACUUAUAUCUUGCUGUGUGGUAGCAGACCAUUCUGGGCACGCACUGAAUCAGGAAUUUUCCGCUCUGUGCUGAGAGCUGAUCCUAAUUUUGACGAUUCACCAUGGGCAUCAAUAUCUCCUGAAGCUAAAGACUUUGUCAAAAGACUUCUUAACAAGGAUUACAGAAAAAGAAUGACUGCUGCACAGGCACUCUCUCACCCCUGGUUGCGAGAUGAGUGCUGCCCAGUCCCUCUGGAUAUGCUAGUUUUUAAGCUGGUUAAGGCGCAUCUUCGUUCCACACCUUUCAAACGGGCAGCAUUAAAGGCUCUGUCUAGAGCAAUAACAGAAGAUGAGCUUAUCUAUGCCAGAGCACAGUACAACUUAUUACAACCAAGUAGUCAAGAUGGUCGAAUAUGUAUUGAGAACUUCAGGAUGGCUCUUCUACAAAACUCCACUGACGCUAUGAAAGAAUCUAGAACUCUUGAUAUCUUAAGUGCGUUGGAGCCGCUUGCAUAUAGGAGAAUGGACUUUGAGGAGUUCCGUGCGGCGACUAUCAGCCCUUACCAACUUGAAGCUUCGUCUAUGUGGGACGAAAUAGCGAGCACCGCAUUUGAGUGCUUUGAGCAGGAAGGCAACCGUGUUAUCACAAUUGAGGAGCUAGCUCAGGAGAUGAAUCUUUCUUCUGCGGCGUAUUCUAUCGUCCGCGACUGGAUUAGGCCAUCAGAUGGGAAGCUUAGCUUUAUAGGCUACACCAAAUUUUUGCAUGGAUUGACUAUGCGAAGCAGCAACGCGAGGCGCCAUCACUGA